AUCACUUCUCUGCCUUUUGGCUAAGAUGAAGUGUAGUAUCUGUUCUUAUAAGUUUAAUAUAUUUUAUAUUGAAUUGAUUAUUGGAACAGGGAGAUGGAAUAGUUCCGUCCACUCCACGCAUCGACGUGGUAUUGCAGUAGCAUACCUCCAGGAACGGUGCACCUCUU
ensembl:snRNA U2 U2 spliceosomal RNA